ACGCUGGCGGCGUGCCUAAUACAUGCAAGUAGAACGCUGAAGGAGGAGCUUGCUUCUCUGGAUGAGUUGCGAACGGGUGAGUAACGCGUAGGUAACCUGCCUGGUAGCGGGGGAUAACUAUUGGAAACGAUAGCUAAUACCGCAUAACAGUAGAUGUUGCAUGACAUUUGCUUAAAAGGUGCAAUUGCAUCACUACCAGAUGGACCUGCGUUGUAUUAGCUAGUUGGUGGGGUAACGGCUCACCAAGGCGACGAUACAUAGCCGACCUGAGAGGGUGAUCGGCCACACUGGGACUGAGACACGGCCCAGACUCCUACGGGAGGCAGCAGUAGGGAAUCUUCGGCAAUGGACGGAAGUCUGACCGAGCAACGCCGCGUGAGUGAAGAAGGUUUUCGGAUCGUAAAGCUCUGUUGUAAGAGAAGAACGAGUGUGAGAGUGGAAAGUUCACACUGUGACGGUAUCUUACCAGAAAGGGACGGCUAACUACGUGCCAGCAGCCGCGGUAAUACGUAGGUCCCGAGCGUUGUCCGGAUUUAUUGGGCGUAAAGCGAGCGCAGGCGGUUAGAUAAGUCUGAAGUUAAAGGCUGUGGCUUAACCAUAGUACGCUUUGGAAACUGUUUAACUUGAGUGCAAGAGGGGAGAGUGGAAUUCCAUGUGUAGCGGUGAAAUGCGUAGAUAUAUGGAGGAACACCGGUGGCGAAAGCGGCUCUCUGGCUUGUAACUGACGCUGAGGCUCGAAAGCGUGGGGAGCAAACAGGAUUAGACACCCUGGUAGUCCACGCCGUAAACGAUGAGUGCUAGGUGUUAGACCCUUUCCGGGGUUUAGUGCCGCAGCUAACGCAUUAAGCACUCCGCCUGGGGAGUACGACCGCAGGUUGAAACUCAAAGGAAUUGACGGGGGGCCCCGCACAAGCGGU
rnacentral:rRNA from 1 species